GUGAGAGAUGCGUUGGUGACCAUUGCUGAAUCGGCCCCUGCUCUAGCUUGCUAACUUGGUAGUAACCGCCUGUAAUUUGGAUAACAAUGAGAUGAUGGACAAGCUAUCAGCAACAGGGGACAAUGAUCAGAGCCAACCGGAGGUAGAGCAAAUACCUCUGCAGAAGGGUGAGACGUCAGCCAUUCCAUGGAACAGAGCACCCGAUCAAGCUUCUCCUUUACCAGAGCAUCCCCUUCUCGGUUAUUGGACCAGGUCUUUGGCCCAUCUUCUCCCAUGGAGAGAGGAAAUCAUUGAAAUCACCGAGACAUAGCCAAGGUAAAUGAGUUGCAGCAUGGAGGAUUCUUAUGGUAUCCCAGAAAUCCUAACGGAGUUGAUAAGUUGGAGGAGCGUGCAAGCAAGUGAUAUGCAUGGAGGCCGAUGUCCUAUGAUCACAGGCGAUGAAAUCCAGAAAGUGAGAAUCUGUAUGUACAAGAGUAACUUCAAAAUUGUCAUUCCAAAAUAGAGAAAGACCACCCUUGAGG